CUCCUGGAAACGGGUGGUAAUGCCGGAUGCUCCACAUGAACACAUGUGAUUGUGGGAAAGAUUUAUCGGUAUGGGAUGGGGUCGCGUCCUAUCAGGUAGUUGGUGGGGUAAUGGCCUACCAAGCCUACGACGGGUAGCCGGCCUGAGAGGGCGACCGGCCACAUUGGGACUGAGAUACGGCCCAGACUCCUACGGGAGGCAGCAGUGGGGAAUAUUGCACAAUGGGCGCAAGCCUGAUGCAGCGACGCCGCGUGCGGGAUGACGGCCUUCGGGUUGUAAACCGCUUUUGUUAGGGAGCAAGCGUAAGUGAGUGUACCUUUCGAAUAAGCACCGGCUAACUACGUGCCAGCAGCCGCGGUAAUACGUAGGGUGCAAGCGUUACCCGGAAUUAUUGGGCGUAAAGAGCUCGUAGGCGGUUUGUCGCGUCUGGUGUGAAAGUCCAUCGCUUAACGGUGGAUCUGCGCCGGGUACGGGCAGGCUAGAGUGUGGUAGGGGAGACUGGAAUUCCCGGUGUAACGGUGGAAUGUGUAGAUAUCGGGAAGAACACC
rnacentral:rRNA from 1 species